AUAACGCUGGCGGCGUGCCUAACAAUGCAAGUCGAACGCCCAUCGCAAGAUGGGAGUGGCGGACGGGUGAGGAACACGUGGGUGAUCUGCCCUUGGGUGAGGAAUACCGGCGAGAAAUCGCCGACAAUACCGCAUACGUUUCGCAAGAAACAAAGUCGCAAGACGCCCGAGGAUGAGCCUGCGUCCGAUUAGCUAGUUGGUGGGGUAAAAGCUUACCAAGGCGACGAUCGGUAGCUGGUCUGAGAGGACGAUCAGCCACACUGGGAUUGAGAACGGCCCAGACUCCUACGGGGGGCAGCAGUGAGGAAUUUUCGUCAAUGGGGGCAACCCUGAACGAGCAACGCCGCGUGCAGGAAGAAGGUUUUCGGAUCGUAAACUGCUUUUCUGUGGGAAGAGAACGGACGGUACCACAGGAAGAAGCCCCGGCUAACUACGUGCCAGCAGCCGCGGUAAUACGUAGGGGGCGAGCGUUGUCCGGAGUUACUGGGCGUAAAGGGCGUGCAGGCGGUGCAGUAAGUUUGGAGUGACAGUUCCCGGCUCAACUGGGGAAGGCCUCUGGAAACUGCUGGACCUGAGGGCCAGAGAGGGACAUAGAAUUCCGGGUGGAGUGGUGAAAUGCG
rnacentral:rRNA from 1 species